rnacentral:misc_RNA from 1 species
UCAAACUUGGUCAUUUAGAGGAAGUAAAAGUCGUAACAAGGUUUCCGUAGGUGAACCUGCGGAAGGAUCAUUAAAAAAAGUUUUUGCCUGCGGACCUUGGUCCAAGGCGCAAAAAACCCACACCGUGUGCACCGUUAUCGUUUCUUUGGCAGGGGCUUGAGAGGAGGGUUUUUUUUUUUCCCAUCUCUCAACUUCUCCUCCGGCUCUAUCCUUCGUUAAUUUUUUUUUUUCGUCGGACAGCUGGACAUGGGAAGCAGUUUUUUACCCUGCCAAGUAACCCUCAUACACGCUUUUUUUUUGUCUGAAACUUUAUAUUUUGCGAUUUUCGCAAUAAAAUAAAAACAUAACUUUCAACAACGGAUCUCUUGGCUCUCGCAUCGAUGAAGAACGCAGC